rnacentral:rRNA from 1 species
UAGGGAAUCUUCGGCAAUGGGGGCAACCCUGACCGAGCAACGCCGCGUGAGUGAAGAAGGUUUUCGGAUCGUAAAGCUCUGUUGUAAGAGAAGAACGUGUGUGAGAGUGGAAAGUUCACACAGUGACGGUAACUUACCAGAAAGGGACGGCUAACUACGUGCCAGCAGCCGCGGUAAUACGUAGGUCCCGAGCGGUGUCCGGAUUUUUUGGUGGUAAAGCGAGCGCAGGCGGUUUAAUAAGUCGGAAGUUAAAGGCAGUGGCUUAACCAUUGUUCGCUUUGGAAACUGUUAAACUUGAGGGCAGAAGGGGAGGGUGGAAUUCCAUGUGUAGCGGUGAAAUGCGUAGAUAUAUGGAGGAACACCGGUGGCGAAAGCGGCUCUCUGGUCUGUAACUGACGCUAAGGCUCGAAAGCGUGGGGAGCAAACAGG